rnacentral:lncRNA from 1 species
GGCGAAGCCGAGCAGAAACUACCGGGAGCGAAGCCCCAACUUGGCCUCCCCCUCCCGCGGCAGCGCUGGGGCGGGGGUGCCCGGGCGGGACAGGCGGAGCGGCGGCGGGGCCGUGCCCGCGGCUGCCAUGCGUGCUCGGCGCGCCGGGGCUGCCCGCGCUCCCGCCGCGCUCGGCUCCCCGCGCCUCCCCCGCCCCGCGCCGCUCCGCUCCGGCCGGCCGGGCCGGGCAGGUGCGCGCUGCGGCUGCCGCUGCCCCGCUCGCAGGUAGGGCCGGCCGGCUGCAGGGUGCGCAGGGCCCCCCGUGCGGUGUGCGGCUGUGUGUGUGUGUGCGGCUGUGUGUGUGUGCGUGUGUGUGUGUGUGUGCGUGUGCGCUCCGCCCGGCCCCGGCGGGCUGCCGAGCCGCAGCGGCGGAGGCGGCGGCAGCAGCCGCGGAGGUGCCGCCGGCUGCGGCGGGGGCCCGCAGGUAGCGGCGGCACGGCGGGGAGCGGGGGGCACGGCCGGGGGAGCGGGGGGCGGGCGGGAGCGCGUCCCGGGGCUGGCGGGGGCGGUGCGGGAGCGGGGGCGACCCGCGGAGCCGCGGGCAGCGGCGAGGCGGAGCGGCUCUGUCGUUGCAGGUGGCGGCGAACCGGAUGCCUUUGGCGGGCAGAAGAUGUGUCAUGGGAAGCAGGCGAGCGGCGGCGGUGCCCUCCCGGCGGCGCGGCGGGCGCUGGCCGCGGCGCUGUGGCUGCAGCUGGCGCUGAGCCUCGGCCCGGGGCUGGCGGCGGGCGGUUUCUGCAAGAUGCCAUGCAUCUGUUUGGCUUCUAUUCAUAACAGGCUCAUUCCUUGAGAGAAUGGCUCUGCUGUACAGGCCCUUGCACAGGACAGAGAUUUUGCAACUUGAAUUGUUGCUGGAAACAACCAAAGUAGAAAAUGGGACUGAUUUAAAAGAAACAGCAACACAAAAGUCUGUGGAUUUGGUUUGUGCUAUUUAAAGUACCAAUAUUUUCUCCAUUUUCCUUCAGAGUGCUAAUUAUUUAUGUUUAAAGAAUGAUUUUCUUUGGUGAG